GAGAAAUCCUGAGUCAUUUCCCGGCGACAAAAAAAAGUACAGACAACAACAAAUAAUCAAUCAUCAGCCGGUCUAUCUAACCAAUAAUCAAAAUUUCCCAAAACCCUAGAAAAAAACACACUCACGCACUUAAAACCAUACAAAUUCACACAUCAACUCUAUCUCUCUCUCUCACACAUACACUAACUGGCACUCAUAAUCACUCACAUGAUCGCCCUCCCAUCUCCGUACUAUUAUGUCCUACUACCAUUCCUCCGAUCGAAGAAACCCUAGAAAUUCGUGACUCCGUUGACAGAAAUGGCGACGUCGAAGCUCAUGGCUUCUUCAACUUCGGCGGCGACUUCAUCUCAUAACUCCGAACUCCGUCGGAAUUCGCUUUCCAAAUCUGAUUUCCAUAAUUUCCGCAAUCAUCAUCAUUAUCAAAACUCUCCAAAUGCUGCGGCAGCUGUUUCUGCGACGACGACUGAGAGUACUUUGUUGAAUGCGGAAAUUACGCUUUUGGAUGCUUCCGGAGCGAUCACGCCCAUCUCGCCGGCGCCGGUGAGGAAGAAGACGGUGGAUGAUGUGUGGAGAGAGAUUGUGGCGGGGAAGACGGCAGCGAGCGAGCCGGCGAGGAGAGUGGAGCCUAAGGAGGAGGCAAUGGAUGAGAUGAUGACAUUGGAGGAUUUUUUGGUAAAGGCUGGAGCAGUGGAGGAAUCGGCUGUUGCUGCGGCGGCAGGAGUGGAGGGGGAGGUGAAGGUGGAGGCUGCUGCGGUCGCGGGGACGAGUGGGGGAAUGUUUGCUUUUGAUAGUCCGUAUAUGUCGAGGCAGGGGAGUGUGGAAAGUGGGGGAGGGCUGGGGUAUGCAAGUGCAGGAGGUUUGGAGACGAUGGGGAGUGGAGGACUAGGAGGAGGAGGAGGGAGAGGGAAGAGAAGAGCGUCGAGUUUAUUGGAGCCAAUGGAUAAAGCAGCGCAGCAGAGGCAGAGGAGGAUGAUUAAGAAUAGGGAGUCGGCUGCCAGGUCUAGGGAGCGAAAACAGGCGUACCAAGUUGAAUUGGAGGCCAUGGCAGUGAGACUGGAAGAAGAGAAUGAGCAGCUCUUGAAAGAAAAGAAUGUGGUGGCCAUAGGUUCAGUGUCCAUCUUUUAACACAUUAGACUGUGGCGGAGGCUCCUGAUCCAGUGGGACACUCGCUGUAACUUUCCUGUUUCUGUCCUUUAGGAAAGGGAAUUAGAAAUUAUUAGUUAUAACAAUCCUAUGUAGAGCUUACAUUGCCCUCGUGGAAGCACACUGUUGGGAGAUGCAGAAUUGCAGAUUUCAACAAAGGCUGAGAGAACAAAGGAAAGAUGCAAGCUGCUAAAGGAGAAAGUGAUCCCUGUUGUGGAGAAGCGAAGACCAGCACGCAUUCUGCGGAGAGUUCGGUCUAUGGAAUGGUGACUUUCUGUUAUGCACUUGAUGUGAAAAGGAAAUUGAACGUAUCUUAGCAUUGGUUGCAAGAUCCAGUUGUGGUCAUUGAUUGUGGAUAAGUAUUCUUAGUUGAGCUUCAGUCCAGUGGAAGGGUUACUGGUUAAUCUUGAGUGUUUUCUCUAGCCCUUUGAGAGAUUAAGUGAUUCUUGCUGUAAAUUGAAAUGGCUUAUACUCUAAUGGGUUCCAAUCUCUUACCAAAUCUAGGAUCUGUAAUAGAUAGUUGGAAUGGCAAACGUCAACAGAGACAGGUUCGUUCGCUCUAUGUACUUAGUUACGCAAUGCAAAGCUGUAGUUCCCCAAGUUGCUAAUGUCAAGGGAAAUAUAUAAAAUUAUUAUGUCCUAAUGAAGUCUGUCAUUGAAACGUUCGGUUA